ensembl:snRNA U4 U4 spliceosomal RNA
AGCUUUGCGCAGUGGCAGUAUCGUAGCCAAUGAGGUUUAUCCGAGGCAUGAUUAUUGCUAAUUGAAAAUAGCAAAAGAAAAAUCAUGUUAUUGUGUAGAAAAGAAAGAAAAUUCAAAUACUUUUAAUAGU